rnacentral:rRNA from 1 species
AUUGAACGCUGGCGGCAUGCCUUACACAUGCAAGUCGAACGGUAACAGGUCUUCGGAUGCUGACGAGUGGCGAACGGGUGAGUAAUACAUCGGAACGUGCCUAGUAGUGGGGGAUAACUACUCGAAAGAGUGGCUAAUACCGCAUGAGAUCUACGGAUGAAAGCAGGGGAUCGCAAGACCUUGUGCUACUAGAGCGGCCGGUGGCAGAUUAGGUAGUUGGUGGGAUAAAAGCUUACCAAGCCGACGCUCUGUAGCUGGUCUGAGAGGACGAUCAGCGACACUAGGACUGAGACAAGGCCCAGACUCCUACGGGAGGGAGCAGUGGGGAAUGUUGGACACUGAGCGAAAGCCUGAGCCAGCAAUGCCGCGUGCAGGAUGAAGGCCUUCGGGUUGUAAACUGCUUGUGUGCGGAACGAAAAGCCCCGGGUUAAUACCCUGGGGUCAUGACGGUACCGUAAGAAUAAGCACCGGCUAUCUACGUGCCAGCCACCGCGGUAA